rnacentral:rRNA from 1 species
UCGAACGAGAACGGGAUUAAGUUUACUUAAUUUGUCAGCUAAGUCCGCGCACGGGUGAGUAAUGUAUAGUUAACCUGCCCUCGAGAAAGGAAUAACAGUUGGAAACGACUGCUAAUGCCCUAUAUGCCUUUAAGACAUAAGUCUACAAGGGAAAUGCUUUUGUGCUCGAGGAUGGGACUGUAUGGUAUCAGAUAGUUGGUGAGGUAAUGGCUCACCAAGUCAAUGACGCCUAACUGGUUUGAGAGGAUGAUCAGUCACACUGGAACUGAGACACGGUCCAGACUCCUACGGGAGGCAGCAGUGGGGAAUAUUGCACAAUGGAGGAAACUCUGAUGCAGCAACGCCGCGUGGAGGAUGACACUUUUCGGAGCGUAAACUCCUUUUAUAUAGGAAGAUAAUGACGGUACUAUAUGAAUAAGCGCCGGCUAACUCCGUGCCAGCAGCCGCGGUAAUACGGAGGGCGCAAGCGUUACUCGGAAUCACUGGGCGUAAAGAGCGUGUAGGCGGGUUAAUAAGUCAGAAGUGAAAUCCUAUAGCUCAACUAUAGAACUGCUUUUGAAACUGUUAACCUAGAAUAUGGGAGAGGUAGAUGGAAUUUCUGGUGUAGGGGUAAAAUCCGUAGAGAUCAGAAGGAAUACCGAUU